AACUCAGGUAUUUCAGUCAGUACACACACUGGUACUGGAUUGGCCUGAGAGCUGAAGGAGGGAGAUGGAAGUGGAUCAAUGGAAGUGAUCUGACUGAAAGUGUCAGCGGCUGGAGACGAAAACCACCACCUCCUACUGACGGUCAGUGUGUAGUUUAUGACAUGUUCAGAUGGAGAUCAGAGAGCUGUGCUGAGAGAAGGCCAUGGAUCUGCAAAAAGAAGACUUUAUCUGUUUAAACACUGUAGUCAGACUUGAGAAGUUUACUGGAUACUCUGCAUGAUAAUAUCAACUGGCUUCAUAAAUAUCAAACUGUGUAGACUUCUACUUCACAAUUUAAAUGUUUUGUUUUAAUAAAUAAACAUUUACAAGGGUCUUACUUUUGUUAGAAGAGAAAAUCAAUAUUUCAAAGCUGUUUGUGUGUCUGACACUCAGAUGUAAUGUAUAUGUGAAUUAGAUAAUAGAUUCUAUAGGUAUGACUACUGUCAACCUGAGAAAAAUACAAUGACUCACCUGAAGGGAGAAUGAACUCUGAAUGUGCUUUUGUUCUCCUUUGUUAGAGAUGUGAUGUUUAUAAUUUGUAUAUCAGCAGAUUGAUGAGAGGUACAGACAGACUGCUCAGCUUCCUGUUUCCUGUGUAACAGGUUAUAUUGUUGCUACUCAUGAGCCAAAAUGGAGGCACAGCAUCACUUGUUUUUCACAAAAUGUCCCGAGAACUCUUCUCUUUAACAUUUGAUUUAAGUGAUAUUAAUAUGUAGAGUGUUUUCUAUUCAUCUAUCUAGAAAAAAAGUGAUGUUUUAUUACAUUGAAUAAAAACGCUGCGACA